rnacentral:rRNA from 1 species
GUGCCAGCCGCUGCGGUAAUACCGGCAGCCCGAGUGAUGGCCGCUGUUAUUGGGCCUAAAGCGUCCGUAGCUGGCCGCACGAGUCCGUCGGGAAAUCCGCCCGCUCAACGGGCGGCCGUCCGGCGGAACCUGUGUAGCUUGGGACCGGGAGGCUCGAGGGGUACGUCCGGGGUAGGAGUGAAAUCCCGUAAUCCCGAACGGACCACCGAUGGCGAAAGCACCUCGAGAAGACGGCUCCGACGGUGAGGGACGAAAGCUAGGGUCUCGAACCGGAUUAGAAACCCCGGUAGUCC